GCCAUAUCUUUUUCUUCUUCUUCUUUUCCUUUUUUGUUCUUAAUACAAAGCAAUGGAUUUGACUACUAAGGAGCAUCUCGCAGUGUUAAUUAAAUAUUUUGAAAAGGAAUCAUAGGUUUAUGUUCAAGCUAAGGUUUAUGCUAAUGGUCAUGCUUUUCAACUUUGCAACAAAGGAUUUUCGGUUGAUUCAAGGAUGCAUCCGAAUAUAUACUAGGACUAUAAUAAUGUAAUACCUCAC
rnacentral:lncRNA from 1 species